rnacentral:misc_RNA from 1 species
CUUGAUAUUUCUGUAAAUCCUUCUCACAAACAGUGUAGACCCUAGAUAACCUACGGCGCCGCAAAGUAAUCCCAGUCCCAGACAGAACAUCAUAGUGUAACCGAAGUAGAAGCUCGUCUGGAAGAAACCUGACAUCUUCGUCUUCACAUGAUAAUAGUACACAGAGUAAAGGUAAACAUAGGCCGCUGUUGAAGCAGCAGAGAAGAACGAAGUCCAUUGCCAAUGAUAGUUCUCAGCAUUCAGCAAGAAAUAUGUUCCCACGAUAGUAACACAGACCGUGACUAUUACAAGGAUCAGG